rnacentral:rRNA from 1 species
GACGAACGCUGGCGGCGUGCUUAACACAUGCAAGUCGAACGGAAAGGCCCUGCUUUUGUGGGGUGCUCGAGUGGCGAACGGGUGAGUAACACGUGAGUAACCUGCCCUUGACUUUGGGAUAACUUCAGGAAACUGGGGCUAAUACCGGAUAGGAGCUCCUGCUGCAUGGUGGGGGUUGGAAAGUUUCGGCGGUUGGGGAUGGACUCGCGGCUUAUCAGCUUGUUGGUGGGGUAGUGGCUUACCAAGGCUUUGACGGGUAGCCGGCCUGAGCGGGUGACCGGCCACCUUGGUACUGAGGUACGGCCCAGACUCCUACGGGAGGCAGCAGUGGGGAAUAUUGCACAAUGGGCGGAAGCCUGAUGCAGCAACGCCGCGUGCGGGAUAACGGCCUUCGGGUUGUAAACCGCUUUCGCCUGUGACGAAGCGUGAGUGACGGUAAUGGGUAAAGAAGCACCGGCUAACUACGUG